AAGACAGUGCUGUCAUCUCCCAGAAGAACUUCUCUGCAGUCUCAGAUAAUCAGGCUAUCAGGACCCAUGAUGCUCCUAUUAGAGAGGACUGACUUCAAGGACUUUGAAAAAGAAAACAGAAAUUUCCACCAUCGUUGUUCAGGUUCUUCCUUUACAGGGGUUCCUACAGCUACACGACUAGGAGAAAGAAGGCAAUUUUUCCUGGCCAUUUACUAAAGCUCAUUAAAGACCGAAGAGAACAAACAAUGCUACUCCUUAGAGACUACCAUUCAAAGUCAUUCUACAAUUCUCUGUUCUAAUACUUGAGACAAAUUAAUUAUUCCUUAGUGAAAAGUGUAUAAUUCCUAUUCUUCAUUUUUGGGGUGGGGAGUGGGGAAUAAUAAUAGGAAGUUUAUAUCUGAGUCGAAUGCUGUCUGUGCUGAAGGGAAAUGAGAAAAAAUGUGUGUUCUAAGAAGAGUAAAAGCAAUUAUUCUAAUAAUAAUUCUAGGGAUAUUAAUGUCUUUUUAAAGUAGAUUGCUUUCAAAUAAACACCAAAGUUGAAGGGAUAGGAAAGGCUGGUUUAUUUAUUAACCAUUCCAAAAGUGCAUUUUUCUAAAUGAACAAGUGCAUGAGCAACUUCGCUGGCACAUAUUAAAUUUAGUUAAACGGCAACUUGUAAAUGUCUAAAAACUUCUGUAACCAGAGACUAAUUUGUUUAACGUGUUGAAAAUGUUAUGUGGAUGUGAGGAACUACAUAUUAAACUUCAAAGCAAAAUGCUCCAGAGAUUACACCAUCUUAAAGACUGCAUAUUGGA